rnacentral:lncRNA from 12 species
CCAUUCACUGGUUCAAAGAUUUCAGGCUAAAAAACAUACAGUUCAGUCCAGAGGUUAACAAACUAUGGUCCAAAAAAAAAAAAAAAAAACUAUGGUCCACAAACAAAAUCCUGCUUACAGCUUUUGUUUAUAAAUAAAGUUUUAUUGGAACACAACCACACUCAUUCAUUUACACAUGGCCUAUGACUGCCUUCACAGCAUAAUGCUGAGUAGUUGUCACGGAGACUGUAUAGCCCACAAAGCCUGAAAUAUUUACUAUCUGGCUCUUUACAAAGCAAUGUGCUGACCAUUGUACUGGGAGGCUGGGAGGGCAAAGUCAUUUGGAAUUGGUUGGUUGGCUUUAUGUAUGUCAACAGAACAGAGAACUAUGUGACCAGAAAAAGGGACCAGGGUUGCUGUCUGAAGGGAAGAAAACUUUGCAAUGUAGAGAAGACAGAUUAGCAGAAGAAAACUUCCCUCUGGAAGCCACUGAUCUCAUUGAGGAGAUAAAAUACAGACUAAUGGGAAUUCUGCAUUCACUGGUACCCAAUGUUUUGCAAAUCCUAGUAGGUUAAAAAAAAUCUUAUUAUUAAAAUUCAAGCAUUUGUGUGUUAUUUCCAGAGGUUCUGAUUCAGCAUUUGUGUUUUUAACAAGCACUCCCGAGGUGAUUCCAGCAUAAGCAUUUUUUAAACCACACUUGAGAAAAAAUGUUAUGGACAGUUAAAGUAUGAGAAGACCAGAAUAGAGUUCAGCCAUUAUAGACAAUAUCAUAAAAAGACUUCCCAGGAGAAUCAGAACCUUUGGAAUAUCAGACUAACAG